AGAAUAAUAAACCAAGCUCAUGCAAUAGACAAUCUGCUUCUAUAAUGUGCUAACAUUUCUGUGUUGUGGCACGCAGUAUAUAUUCUAAUCUCAUUACUUAUGUGGAUUUCUUCCAUAGACCUCUCUUACUGUAUUCCCCAAUGUUUAUUGUAAUUUUCUGAAGAAAAAGUCCAUCUGCUACUUCAUUGAAUCAACAGACAUUAAUAGAGUCCUUAUUAAGUGCCAAGCAAGUGCUGUGCCAGACUCUGAAGUUGCAAAGAUUUGAGUGUUUCUGCUAUUUCCUCCAUUACCAUCACUAAAGAAAAUGCUGCUGCUGCCUCUCAUAAAAAUGAGGAUAACGCUGGAUAACAUUUAUUGAGUGCUUACCUCCUCCCAGGCUUCUUCCUUCUCUUUCUAUUGCCGGGACACCAAGACAUGAGCAGCUGUUUGCAACCAGUAACGUCCACCAUGCCCUUCUUUCCUUGGAGCCAGUCAACUAUGA
ensembl:lncRNA